AGUGAACGCUGGCGGUAGGCCUAACACAUGCAAGUCGAACGGCAGCACAGUAAGAGCUUGCUCUUACGGGUGGCGAGUGGCGGACGGGUGAGGAAUACAUCGGAAUCUACUUUUUCGUGGGGGAUAACGUAGGGAAACUUACGCUAAUACCGCAUACGACCUACGGGUGAAAGCAGGGGAUCUUCGGACCUUGCGCGAUUGAAUGAGCCGAUGUCGGACUAGCUAGUUGGCGGGGUAAAGGCCCACCAAGGCGACGAUCCGUAGCUGGUCUGAGAGGAUGAUCAGCCACACUGGAACUGAGACACGGUCCAGACUCCUACGGGAGGCAGCAGUGGGGAAUAUUGGACAAUGGGCGCAAGCCUGAUCCAGCCAUACCGCGUGGGUGAAGAAGGCCUUCGGGUUGUAAGGCCCUUUUGUUGGGAAAGAAAAGCAGCAGGUUAAUACCCCGCUGUUCUGACGGUACCCAAAGAAUAAGCACCGGCUAACUUCGUG
rnacentral:rRNA from 1 species